rnacentral:tRNA from 1 species
GCAGAAAUAGCGCAGUUUGGAGAGCGUUAGACUGAAGAUUUAAAGGUCCCUGGUUCAAUCCCGGGUUUCGGCA